rnacentral:rRNA from 1 species
CCUACGGGAGGCUGCAGUGGGGAAUUUUGGACAAUGGGCGAAAGCCUGAUCCAGCCAUGCCGCGUGCAGGAUGAAGGCCUUCGGGUUGUAAACUGCUUUUGUGAACCGCUCGGUACCGUAAGAAUAAGCACCGGCUAACUACGUGCCAGCAGCCGCGGUAAUACGUAGGGUGCAAGCGUUAAUCGGAAUUACUGGGCGUAAAGCGUGCGCAGGCGGUGAUGUAAGACAGAUGUGAAAUCCCCGGGCUCAACCUGGGAACUGCAUUUGUGACUGCAUCGCUGGAGUACGGUAGAGGGGGAUGGAAUUCCGCGUGUAGCAGUGAAAUGCGUAGAUAUGCGGAGGAACACCGAUGGCGAAGGCAAUCCCCUGGCCGUACUGACGCUCAUGCACGAAAGCGGGGGAGCAAACAGGAUUAGAUACCCGGUAGUC